GGGCCCCUAGCUCAGUGGUAGGGUAUCUACCUUUUAUACAGAAGGUCCCAGGUUCAAUUCCUGGCAUGUAUCUCCA